ACAAAUGAAUGAAUGAAUAAAUAAAUCAAGGUAAAUAAAAUGUAAACACAAUGAAUAUGAAUAAUAAAUAUAUCAUCAAAUUUGUUCUCUGAAUUCAGAGUGCUAUUUCAAGGAAACUUCCUGUUGCCACUUGUAACUGAGUCAGUUUAAGUUAAGUUCAUAAAUAGUUUUGAGUUUAAAAAUAAUCAUUUAUGUUUGGUUAUUUUUUUCCUUGUUAAUGAACAUGACUAUCAAACUAAUGUAGUUUGUCUCCGCGGGGGGUCGGGUUAUUAUUACCUGCACUCGGGAGACUCACCUUGAGAAAGAGACUUUACUGGCGUCAGUGAAGAUGUUUGUUGUCGUCACGUUGCUGCAGUAUGACAGAAGAUGUGGUUAAGAAGGACUGAAAGACUUGAAGUUUUCUUCGUACCAACGCGGCCAAUGAGUCCUCACGGCUUGACGGACUGAUGACGUAUCGUGACGUAUCGGCAUGUGGCAACUGCAUGUUGAGGACGCAGAUAAAAGCCUGGAACCAAAGACCGCUUUGUGCUCGUGAUUAAACUGGAGGGGACUCACACCACUGACCAGUUUCACUUCAGGAUGAUAGCAGACCACACCACGGUGUUUCACAAUGAGUUUCAGGACGUUCUGAUGUAGCAUUUCAAAAUAAAGGCCAUCCAAAAUCCCACAUGUCAGCUAGUUUUUACUCUGUUUUCAGAGUGUAAUUAAAAGGAAACCUUCUGUUGCCACUGACCAGUUUCACUUCAGGAUGAUAGCAGACCACCCCACGGUGUUUCACAAUGAGUUUCAGGACGUUCUGAUGUAGCAUUUCAAAAUAAAGGCCAUCCAAAAUC